GAUGAACGCUGGCGGUAUGCCUAACACAUGCAAGUCGUACGAGAGUUUUUAACUCUAGUGGCGGACGGGUGAGUAACACGUGAGAAUUUGCCUUUAGGAGGGGGACAACAAUCGGAAACGAAUGCUAAUACCCCAUAUGCUUUCGAGUGAAAUGGAUUUUAUCCGCCUAGAGAGAAGCUCGCGGCUGAUUAGCUUGUUGGUAAGGUAAGAGCUUACCAAGGCGACGAUCAGUAUCUGGUUUGAGAGGACGAUCAGACACACUGGAACUGAGACACGGUCCAGACUCCUACGGGAGGCAGCAGUGGGGAAUUUUCCGCAAUGGGCGAAAGCCUGACGGAGCAAUACCGCGUGAGGGAAGAAUGCCUAUGGGUUGUAAACCUCUUUUUUCAGGGAGGAAAAAAUAGACGUGUACCUGAAGAAUAAGCAUCGGCUAACUCCGUGCCAGCAGCCGCGGUAAUGUGACUACUG
rnacentral:rRNA from 1 species